CAAAUACAAGGCUAAGAGGUGCUGGCCGUGUCCGUGGUGUGGCUAUGAAUCCUGUUGAACAUCCAUUUGGUGGUGGUAACCAUCAGCACAUUGGUAAACCUUCAACCAUUAGGAGAGAUGCUCCAGCAGGUCGUAAAGUAGGUCUUAUUGCAGCACGUCGUACCGGAAGGUUGCGUGGUACAAAGACCGUCCAGGAAAAAGAGAACUAAAUUUUUUCAUUGCUUACUUGACUUAUUAAAAUUAUUUAAAAGGAAAA